AUUGAACGCUGGCGGCAUGCCUUACACAUGCAAGUCGAACGGCAGCGGGCCUUCGGGUGCCGGCGAGUGGCGAACGGGUGAGUAACGCAUCGGAACGUGCCAUUGAUGGGGGAUAACGUAGCGAAAGUUACGCUAAUACCGCAUAUUCUGUGAGCAGGAAAGCAGGGGGACCGCAAGGCCUUGCGCUCUUUGAGCGGCCGAUGUCAGAUUAGCUAGUUGGUGAGGUAAAGGCUUACCAAGGCGACGAUACUGUAGCGGGUCUGAGAGGAUGAUCCGCCACACUGGAACUGAGACACGGUCCAGACUCCUACGGGAGGCAGCAGUGGGGAAUUUUGGACAAUGGGCGCAAGCCUGAU
rnacentral:rRNA from 1 species